CCGAGUACCGGGUCCUCUGGGCCCUUACUCCCACCCUUUGUAUACCUACCAAAUUUUCGUUGCCUUGGCGGGGUCGAUCCCAGGGGCCUCACGGCUCCGGGGGGACUCGCCAGGGGGCACCUCUAAACUCUUAUAACCGUGUCGUCUGAGAAAAAACACAAUAAAUUA
rnacentral:misc_RNA from 1 species